UCUUGGACCUUAGUCAUGGGGGCUC
rnacentral:piRNA from 1 species